AGCCAAAACCCGGAAUCAACCAGGGACCUUUAGAUUUUCAGUCGAACAUGCUCCCAACUGAGCUCUUAUUUCGUC